CGUGAGAUGUUGGUUAAGUCCCGUAACGAGCGCAACCCUUGUCCUUAGUUACCAGCACGUUAUGGUGGGCACUCUAAGGAGACUGCCGGUGACAAACCGGAGGAAGGUGGGGAUGACGUCAAGUCAUCAUGGCCCUUACGGCCUGGGCUACACACGUGCUACAAUGGUCGGUACAAAGGGUUGCCAAGCCGCGAGGUGGAGCUAAUCCCAUAAAACCGAUCGUAGUCCGGAUCGCAGUCUGCAACUCGACUGCGUGAAGUCGGAAUCGCUAGUAAUCGUGAAUCAGAAUGUCACGGUGAAUACGUUCCCGGCCUU
rnacentral:rRNA from 1 species